UACGAAGGGGGCUAGCGUUGUUCGGAAUUACUGGGCGUAAAGGGCGCGUAGGCGGUUGUGCAAGUCAGGCGUGAAAGCCCUGGGCUCAACCCAGGAUGUGCGCUUGAUACUGCGCGACUAGAGUGUGGGAGAGGAUGGUGGAAUUCCCAGUGUAGAGGUGAAAUUCGUAGAUAUUGGGAAGAACACCGGUGGCGAAGGCGACCAUCUGGACCACAACUGACGCUGAGGCGCGAAAGCUAGGGGAGCAAACAGG
rnacentral:rRNA from 1 species